ACCAUUUGUUUUCUAUACUAAAAUUUUUCCAGAGUUAUGAAAAUCAUGGAAAUUUGAAAAGAAGGAAAAAGGUGAUUGUGUUCAACAUCACAAGGUUUAUAAUUUGACCUAGGAGACCCAUGUCUGCCCACUAUUUCACCAUGUUAGCAAGCAUGUGUCAGCUCUGAGUGUCUGGCACUAUUCUAGGACCAAUGAUUACAUUCUUACCAUGGACAGUACACCAUUUCCAGAGGUGUUAGUAUUGGUUUCGAUCGCCAAGAUGGUGAGUUGGAUAGAAAGACUGUGUAGUUAUUGAACAACUUUGGCAAGUACGUAAAAUUGAACAUAGGUAAAGGCCCUGGAAGGACUUGGGCCAAUCCUCAAAGAAAUUGGGCCUUGGGACUUUUAAGAAACUCUAAUCCAAAGUUACUGGGCAGUUGAAUGUGUUAGGUAAGAUUAACUAUUGGUAUUCAAUAUCGAUUUC